rnacentral:rRNA from 1 species
AGCGAACGCUGGCGGCAGGCCUAACACAUGCAAGUCGAACGAACCUUUCGGGGUUAGUGGCGGACGGGUGCGUAACACGUGGGAACGUGCCUUUAGGUUCGGAAUAACUCAGGGAAACUUGUGCUAAUACCGAAUGUGCCCUUCGGGGGAAAGAUUUAUCGCCUUUAGAGCGGCCCGCGUCUGUUUAGCUAGUUGGUUGAGGUAAUGGCUCACCAAGGCGACGAUCAGUAGCUGGUCUGAGAGGAUGAUCAGCCACAUUGGGACUGAGCCACGGCCCAAACUCCUACGGGAGGCAGCAGUGGGGAAUCUUGCGCAAUGAGCGAAAGGCUGAAGCAGCCAUGCCGCGUGAAUGAUGAAGGUCUUAGGAUUGUAAAAUUCUUUCAACGGGGACGAUAAUGACGGUACCCGGAGAAGAAGCCCCGGCUAACUUCGUG